GAUGAAGAACGCAGCGAAAUGCGAUAAGUAGUGUGAAUUGCAGAAUUCAGUGAAUCAUCGAAUCUUUGAACGCACAUUGCGCCCCUUGGUAUCCCGAGGGGCAUGCCUGUUCGAGCGUCAUUUCACCACUCAAGCCUGGCUUGGUGUUGGGCGACGUCCCCUUUGGGGACGCGCCUCGAAACGCUCGGCGGCGUGGCACCGGCUUUAAGCGUAGCAGAAUCUUUCGCUUUGGAAGUCGGGGCCCCGUCUGCCGGAAGACCUACUCGCAAGGUUGACCUCUGAUCAGGCAGGGAUACCCGCUGAACUUAAGCAUAUCAAUAAGCGGAGGA
rnacentral:misc_RNA from 1 species